CAUCCAUACAAGUAAUAUUUCUUGGGCUUUCACCUUUCUUAUAGACCCCUUUUGCCUCUUGCCAAAUGAGUGAACUCUUUUCUGAGUAUAAUCCUGCUCAAUGUUGCUUAGUACUUCGCUGAAAAAAGCCAGCUAUGCUUAGUAACUUAUUUGGGUGAACCUUUUUUGGGAUCCAUUUGACAUUAUCAAUUCGAUAACUUUGAUGUUAAAAGAUAGGAAUAGCUAGCUGAUGAUGUUACAUAUUAAGUUAUUAACUAUUUUUCCAGGAUUUCUUGUGUCAGAGAUUGUGAGGUUUCAAGGCUGAGGUACCUGAGAAAGAUGACAAAACUGAUGUAGCUUUUACUUUCAUAUUGACUUUUAAAAUUAUCAUCAGUUUACCUAAGCAACUCAGGCCCCAACGAAAUUGAUGUAGCUUUUACCCGAGCAAAUCAGGCUCCAGUAGGAAUGCGGGGUACACAAAUAUUUUAUGAUGUUACAAGUUUUCAGUCAGUUAGGUGCUGAUCUACCAAUUCUAUCUUUCUCAUUUAUCAUCAGUUAUUUUGUAAUUUGUUUUAGCAACAUGACCAAACUGCUUGAAUGAAGGCUGAAAGCUAGCCAUGACUAUCCAAGAUGGAACUACGAUGAGAAGUGGCUGGACAGCGAAGAAGAAUGCUGAGGUUAAAAAGAAAAGAGUAACUUCUUGGAACUAGAAGAUGGUUAGCUGUGCAAGUUGCUGCACCCUGUAAUUCUAGGACGGGAAAGCUUCACUUCUCUAGAUGUUGCGCUUCCAAAUUGAAAUUUUGCCAACAUUGAUUGAUGUAUAUAUUGGCUGGAUACUUGAUGAAGUCUGAAUUAAUUCUUUAUCAAGGAAUUAACACAA